AGCUUUGCGCAGUGGCAGCAUCGGAGCCACAGACGUUUAUCGGAGGUGCGAUUAUUGCUAAUUGAAACAAUCCGAAGUACAUAGUUUAAGGAAUAGUAAUAUACU
rnacentral:snRNA from 1 species